CACGGAGAGAAGCGUAGAAGGAAAGAAUGGGAGUGGAAAUCAUUUUUCAUUAUCUAUUAAGUUUCGUUGAAUGGCUUCGAAAAGUGAAAGCUUAAGAUCAAUGAUAAGUUUUGAGUGCGAAUAUCGCAUUUGCAAAUAAUUCAUGAGUUAAUAAGUAGAUAUAUGUGAUAUGAGAUGAGUAAAUAAGAAACGCCACGAAACAGACGUUCACUCCAAAAAAUUACUCUUUACUCCAACUUUGAGAACUUUUUGUUUUAACUUUUGACCCAAAAAAAAAAAAAAAAAAAAAGAAGAUUUUUGCUCUUUCUUGUGCAACUAUAUCCAAAUACAUGCUCUUGUGAGACCAAGCCAACAAAUGUAGAGAUAGUUUGGCCAAAUCUCAACAAGAAAAUCUUUAAUAUACAGGUCACAAGAAUGAAGCUGCCAUGGCCAACCACCUCCUAAAAUUCAAUUCCACUCAAGAGAUUGCUACAAAAUAAAGUAGAGAAAACCAAAAGAAGGAUGUGGCCAAGAAGGUCAGAGCAUCAAUAUUGCAACAAACCCCACAAUUCACAUGCCCUCUAUGAGUGAAUGUACCACAUGAAACAACUUUAUUACCCGCAUCCACAGAUAUUAAUCCAUCCAAAAACACUACACAAUGCAUAAAACUAGUAGGUUUUCUUCAAUACACUUAAAUACUUUGUGCUCCGAUAUUUAGAGCCGUUAGAUCCAAUUCAAACGAUAACAAUAACUAGUACUAAUUAUUUCAUCUACAUAGUAUGCCCACAAGUAUUAAUGAUUACAAUUUGCAUGUUUGAGAUUGGUGAUCAAAUGGACCAUAUCUAAUCAUAAUUCUUUUCUCCAUUGAUUUUUGAAGAUUUUCUAUGAUAUCCCUUAGUAAUUGUUCAGGUAAUUAGGUAAUAGGCAAUUAUAGCCUUAGUAAAUAGUAUUUUUCCAUUUCAUAUAUCGAUGAUGAUAAUUUUGCGAUGUGCAGGCAAGCAAGAAGACGAUGGUAUCAGACGUGAGCAAGAAUAUAUAAAGUGGCACAGAAGGAUUGCCUACGUCUCCAUGGUCGAACGUUCUGUCGUCAGCAUGACGUCAGAUCCAGCUCGGGCACAGGGUCGGACAAGGAUUGCUCUAGUUACCUAGUCCGGCACACAUGGGUCCACCCAAUUGCCUGACUUUUGGACAUGGAUUGGAGAUGUUUUGGACAUCUUUUGGGCAACAAUUGCCCAUUUGCCUGGCUUUUGGGCAUGGGGUGGACUUGCUCUUAGAGCAUCAAGAACUUGCCUAAAAUUCUCACCAACUGGCUUCAACUCAGUGCUGGUGUCACAGGUGGCAGGCAUAUUCAGAGAUUUAUGAGUUGGGUUGUGGCAGAACCCUUUUGGGGAAGAACAUUCUAAGCUGGAACUAGAACUGGAACCAGAAGUGCUUUGAGAAGAAGUGUUUUCUUCAGUGAAAGUACUUUCACAGCUUUGCUCAGAUGUGGUGGAGUCAGCUGCAUUUUGUCUUGAUUCUUCUGGGAUUUCUGACUCUGCAACUUUGGAUUUGGCUUUAUGGGUUUCUGGAUGAUUGGAUCCUGAUGAAGUAGUAGCGGAUUGUGUACAAGAUUUUUCACUAUUUUUAGAGGAAAUAUUCAAAGAUUCAAGCUUUUUCUUCAA